GUUCCUUGUGUGGGUUCAAUGAGGAGCAAGGCUGGAGCACCAUUUGAAGCAUCUACCAAAUUCACUAUAUGUUAGGGUUUCUUUCACGUAUGAAUUCUCCAAUGGGCAAUGAUACCAGCUAUAGUGAAGUGAUUUCCACAGUCAAGCAUCUAUAAGGCUUUUCUCCUGUUAUGAUUCACCCACAUCUCAUAAUGCCUGCACUUCACUUGAAGCAGUUUUUCUACCUGUCAUGAGAAGAAUUAAGCAAGCUCUUGUCUUCCAUUGAGUUUCAGAUUUGGGAAAACUAUCAGAAUCACUGCAUUUCUACCACGCUCUCUAAGAUGGCCUGCCAGAGCUCAAUUCCACCACCAUCCUGAUCAGCCCACACCAUCUCAGAAGAAGGAGAAGGAGAGACUGGGGCAGUGACAUCUCAGGAAGUGACAUCUCUUUUUGCUGAGGAAGACUGGCCCUGAGCUAACAUCCGUGCCCAUCUCCCUCUACUAAAUUCUCAUCUCUCACCUCUCUCCCCAAGGGCCAGGAACCCUGUCUUAGGAAUGAUCUACUGUUGUCAGAAAGAACCCUAUUUUUUUUUCCAGAUAGCGCCUUAGAGUUAACCAUGGUGCUGUGCCCUCCAAAAUCAUUUCCUAUGUCUGUGCUCAAUCUGGGACCUGAAAACAGAUCCUCCUCUAACCAUUCUCAAAGGACUCAAGGGGGUCUGAGACUUGCAGGAGAGUAACAGGAAAAGCUAUAGCAUUUUGCAUUCCUAUCAGCAAUGAAUGAGAGUUGCUGUUGCUCCACCUCCUUGCCAGUAUUCGUUGUCAGUGUUUUGGAUUUUCACUAUUCUGGUAGUCAUAUAGUGGUAUCUCAUUGUUUUAAUUUGCAGUUCCUUAAUGACAUGUGACGUGAAGCAUCUGUUCAUUUGUUUGUUUACCAUCUUUCUACCUUGUUUGGAGAAGUAUCUGUUCAGAUCUUUUGCCCAUUUUUUAAUCAGGUCAUUUUCUUAUUAUUGUGUUUUAAGAGUUCUUUGUAUAAUUUGUAUACACUCUUUUAUCAGAAUGUCUUGCACAUAUUUUCUCCCAAUCCAAUGCUUGUCUUCUCAUUCUCUUGACAGUGUCUUUUGCAGAGGUUUUUAAUUUUAUUGAAGUCCAGCUUAUCAGUUACUUCUUGUAUGGAUCUUGCCUUUAGUGUUGUAUCUAAAAAGUCAUCACUAAACCCAAAGUUAUCUAGGUUUUCUUCUGUGUCAUCUUCUAGGAGUUUUAUCAUUUUGUGUUUUACAUUUACAUGUAAUUUGCAAAAAUUACAUUUUACAUUUAUAUUUAGGUCUGGGAUCCAUUUUGAGUUAAUUUUUUGUGAAGGGUGUAAAGUCUGUGUCUGGAUCUUUUUUUUCAGGUAGAUGUCCAGUUGCUCUAGCACCAUUUGUUGAAAAGACUAUCUUCUCGAUUUUGUUGCCUUUGCUCCUUUGUCAACAAUAAGGUGGCCAUAUUUAUGUGGGUCUAUUCCUGGGCGCUCUAUUCUGUUCCAUUGUUGCUUUUGUCUGUUCUUUCACCAAUACUGUAUUGUCUUGACUACUGUAACUUUAGAGUAAGUCAAUGUUGAGUAAUGUCAGUCCUCCAACUUUGUUCUUCUCCUUCAAUAUUGUGUUGGCUAUUCUGGGUCUUUUGCCUCUCCAUGUUGUUUUUUUUUUUGAGGGCGGGGGGAGGAUGAGCCUUGAGCUAACAUCUGCUGCCAAUCCUCCUCUUUUUGCUGAGGAAGACUGGCCCUGAGCUAACAUCCGUGCCCAUCUUCCUCUACUUUAUAUGUGGCAUGCCUACCACAGCAUGGCCUGAUGAGCAGUGCCAUGUCCGCGCCCGGGAUCCAAACUGGCAGACCCAGGGCCACUGAAGCGGAAUGGGCACACUUAACCACUGCGCCACUGGACUGGCGCCGUAUUUUCUUUUUUAAGUUUUUAUU
rnacentral:lncRNA from 1 species